AUAGUUAUAGGAGGCAGACAAAAGCAUGUGGACUGUGCACUUAAAAAUCCAGCAAGCCUACAAUCAGCAGUGGUGGUGAAGAGGAACGGUAAGGAGGGAUGCUUGCUCAAAUGCCACAAAGAAUAGGAUGCUGCCAGGUCUAAUAUGGUAAUGGGAGGACAGCUGGACUAAAUGAUUCUGCAGGUUGUUUCCAACCUGGUGAUUCUAUGUGCCCACAGCGCCCCAGCACAGCCUGGCAUCUCCUGGGCACACACACGAACGCUGCAGUGACAAAUGCAUUAAGCUGAGGAAAAGCAAUUGUUCUUAGACUCUGAGAACCAGGGCCUAUUGCUGCUCAGUGCUUCCUAACGCAGCCAGGCCUGACAGCAACACCAGGCUGCCCUGGCACCAGGGAAGCGCAACCUAUUGCAGCAUGGGCCUCUGUCACAGUGAGAACACCAAGAGACAAUGCCAGUUUGUGACCCGAAGGAGAUCAAGAGGUGACGCUGGGACAAUGUCAGUAUGACUUUCUCUACCCAUGAGCCAGGAGCCCCAAGCACUCUAAUCUGGAGGAAGCUCUCACAGGCUAUUCCUCUCCCUGCUCUUGGAACGAAUUGCAUGGGACAGCGUGGCUCUAGGAGACUCCAACUUGUUAAUUGGUUACAACAAUUAGGUGAUGCUCCUGGAACUGUAGGCACCUUGAUUACAUAUGGGAGCCAAUUAGAGUCUCAUACAUAUUCACACCCCUCAUGCUUCCCAGCCCUGCCCGGCUCGCACCCAGCCCCCUCAGCUGCAAGAAUUCCCUUUUCCUUUCACAUUUCAUUGAAAUCACACACCUCCUGUGGCUGUAGCUCACAUAAUGGCAGUACAGAAAAAGCACAUCUGAGAAGGAAGUGCUAAACCAGCCCAUCUAAACUCUCCUCGUGCCCUAAUACAUAGGAAGACAAUACUGGAUCCUUCCUCUGCAGUCCUCACUCAGGGGAGCUCAGGAGAACCUGAAGCCUGGCUGGCCAUUCCAGAACCCCUCUCUGUGACCACCCAGACCCGAGGGAUCGGCAUGGCACCAGCAUCAAACAGACUGCUGCACUGACCUCAUGUCUUGGGUGAGCUUCAGUGCCUGGGAUCCCAUAGCAAGAACCAGCAGAAGAUGCCACGAUACUUUGCAAUCUCAUAGCGCACGACUGAAUUCUACUGAGACCCCGAGGAUUUGGAGUGUGACCUGGUAAACUGCUGAUCAAAAAAAUCCACGUGACAAGGAAAAAGAACCCAUUAAUUAAGUCUACUGACAGCUUCCACAAUAAGCUACAUUAUUGGGUGCAUGUUAACCAGGACAAAUGGCAGUACAGGAGAGCAGCACAAACAGCCCCAAACUACACUUUAAGAAACUUUUCUCUGCAUGGUGCUGGAAACAGAGAAUGAGCAAUGGCUUUUCAAAAGUCUUGUGGUAGUUCUCUAUCCAGUUAUGGAUCCAUUUACAAGAAGUCAGGCUCUACUGCAGCACAGAACAGCAGCUCCAGCAGGACCACCACCUCCAGACACCACCGGCAGCCUCUCAGUAACCUCCUCAUUGUAGCAAAAGCAUUUGCAUGUUGCACACAUGAGGGUAAUAUGAGAAUUAAAGAAACACCAAUAAAAGCCAUCUCGACUGCUCAAAUAGACAGCUGGCCCUCACUCCCCCCAUUGACCUGCUCUGUGUCCUAAGGUGCAAUACUCAUUUCGAAUUCCAACGUUGAGAACAGACAUUAGGAACUUCCUUCAGCCACAAACUGGUCGCUAAAACUACUACCAGCAGUUCUUCCUGGUCUGCUUGUCAUCCUCACUUCCCUUUCUGCUUUUGAGUUUUCUUAAUUUUUUUUUUGGCA